AGGCUGCGCGUUGAGCACAUAGCGAACUAUUCUAUUGCCUUUUACUAAAGAAUGAAUACCGUGUGGUCGUCGCUAUAAAGUGACAUACUCUAUUUUUUGGAAGGUUGUCCUUAUCGGCAACC